GGCGAAGUGGCCGAGUGGUUAUGGCGGUGGAUUCAAGUUACUUGAAUAACUUAGCUGUUGAACAGCUUCCCACUCUCGAAAGAGGCAGGGGUUCGAAUCCCCUCUUCGUCA